ACUAAGAUAACAAUACAGUUCCGGUUAGUAGUCCAGACGUAGGCUGUCAUAUCAGAAACCUUCCUCCUUGGUUGUCCGUUCUUAGGGAUUUUU
rnacentral:ncRNA from 1 species